GGGCCCGCACAAGCGGUGGAGCAUGUGGUUUAAUUCGACGCAACGCGAAGAACCUUACCAGGACUUGACAUCCCUUGCAUACCGUAGAGAUACGGGAAGUCCUUCGGGACAAGGAGACAGGUGGUGCA
rnacentral:rRNA from 1 species